rnacentral:rRNA from 1 species
ACGCUCGACACCUACGGGAUGCAGCAGUGGGGAAUAUUGCACAAUGGGGGAAACCCUGAUGCAGCGACGCCGCGUGAGUGAAGAAGUAUUUCGGUAUGUAAAGCUCUAUCAGCAGGGAAGAAGAUGACGGUACCUGAGUAAGAAGCCCCGGCUAACUACGUGCCAGCAGCCGCGGUAAUCUGAGCGGGCUGGCAAGGC